UAAAAGAUACGACUGAAUUUAAAUUUUCCAAAUCUUAAUUUACACCACAAUGAUUUUUAAUUCAUCAUAUAUAUAUAUAUAUAGAUUAUGCCUUAUUAAUUGGCCAGAUUUAGUCCCAACCAGUGAUCAGUUAGUAAGACAGUUAGGUAUUACAUCUUUUCUUUCUGUCGUCUCCUUUCUCUUAUGGAGUUAUCUUGCUCUGUUAUACCUCCUGUAGGUCAGGUCUGUACAGUAAAAAAGAGAACGUGCAUACUAAGGAAUAAGGGAAUGGAAAAUUUAGCAUGGUAUACACAAUAGCGAAGGAGCUCACUCUAUGAGUCACAGGAACCAAAUGUAGGAUUUUUGUCCUCUGUGAUGCGAACGCAACAUGAAUUUAAUGUUCCUCGCCCGCGGCCGCGUCCCACUUCGAGAAUAGAGAAAUCGAGCUUAUCACAGAGAAGGUAAAUUUUGAAGCGACUCAUCGUUGAGUUUACUCACCUCUUCAAAAACCAUUACCCGAUGAUCCCUUCUGUGUGUUUGCAAUGAACUACUUCAUAGGAUUUUCCACCUCACACAAUGGAUACCUUGCAAUUUGUAAUAUGGCAUUAACACUGGAACUACCGACUAUUUUCUAUGAAGUGUAUAUAAAGAAUAAUAUAUAUUAUAUAAUAAUUAUAAUAUAUAAUAUAUGAUACAAUAUAUAAUUUUUGUAUAUAAGAUUAUAAUAUAUAAAUAACUUUUACCAAAAAAAUUAAAAUAAAAGAAGAAAAAAGAAAUACAGAAUAUAAUAAAAAUAAAUGUUCAUUCAUAUAUUUUACAAAUAAUUACAAAAAAUCUCGUAAAAUUCACUGUAGUGUAAGACCGCAAAAUUUUCAUGAAAAAUUAAGAAUUUGUUAUUCUAACCACUCUGGUAGUUCUAGUAUCGAUAAAUGUAUUUUUCAUCAUAUUAGCGAUAAUAUUUGAACUUUAAAAAUAAAAUUGAUUACUAACAAAUCUGCGAAUAUUACUUACAUAAUUGCAGGUAAACUUAAAUAAUCUAAAUUAUAUUUUAUAUAUAACAUUUAAAAGUGCAUGGAAUAAAUAAUAUUUUCAGUAAGUCCACGUAAACAGUUUUCACAUAGUGACACUACUUAGUUACGUAGAAAAACAAGAUUCUAUCGUUUCAGUCAUAUCGCAAAUUGCUGGCAUCGUGUUUGUCAGAGAAACCAUUGUGCGUACAUUUGAUGAUGACUAUUCAAAGAAUUAGAACGAAAUAUUUGUGAUAGCGAGAACAACUUAAUUUCCUCGCUGAGCAUCUAUUAUGCUAUGGUAAACGAAGAUAUUACAAGCAGAAAAAUUCCGAAAUAUUUUGUUAAUUUUAAAUUCAUACAUUCGUGAUUUAUGUGAAACAUGAUAGUAUACUGAUAA